GUAACGUAGACGAAAGCUACGCUAAUACCGCAUACGAUCUAUGGAUGAAAGCGGGGGAUCGCAAGACCUCGCGCGAUUGGAGCGGCCGAUAUCAGAUUAGGUAGUUGGUGAGGUAAAGGCUCACCAAGCCGACGAUCUGUAGCUGGUCUGAGAGGACGACCAGCCACACUGGGACUGAGACACGGCCCAGACUCCUACGGGAGGCAGCAGUGGGGAAUUUUGGACAAUGGGCGCAAGCCUGAUCCAGCAAUGCCGCGUGCAGGAUGAAGGCCUUCGGGUUGUAAACUGCUUUGUACGGAACGAAACGGUGAGCUCUAAUACAGUUUGCUAAUGACGGUACCGUAAGAAUAAGCACCGGCUAACUACGUG
rnacentral:rRNA from 1 species